GUGCUAAGGUAGCAUAAUCAUUUGUUUCUUAAUUGGAAACUGGAAUGAACGGUUGAGCUUGCUUAAUAAGUAUGUUUAUUUAAAUAUAAAAUUAAAGUCAUGGUAAGAAUUCUUUGAUGUAUUAGGGGACGAUAAGACCCUAUAAGCUUUAUAAACAUACGGUUGACUUUGUUUUUCAAGUUAAUUUAUUUUACUGGGGCGGUAUCGGUGUAUUAACUACCGGUUAACUUAAGAUCCUAAAAAUAUGGAUAACAUGUAAAAGUUACUUUAGGGAUAACAGUGCAAUGUUUUUGGAGAGACCUUAUCGAUAAAUACGUUUGCAACCUCGAUGUUGAAUUA
rnacentral:rRNA from 1 species